GACGAACGCUGGCGGCGUGCUUAACACAUGCAAGUCGAACGGAAAGGCCCUGCUUUUGUGGGGUGCUCGAGUGGCGAACGGGUGAGUAACACGUGAGUAACCUGCCCUUGACUUUGGGAUAACUUCAGGAGACUGGGGCUAAUACCGGAUAGGAGCUCCUGCUGCAUGGUGGGGGUUGGAAAGUUUCGGCGGUUGGGGAUGGACUCGCGGCUUAUGAGCUUGUUGGUGGGGUAGUGGCUUACCAAGGCUUCGACGGGUAGCCGGCCUGAGAGGGUGACCGGACACAAUGGGACUGAGAUACGGCCCAGACGCCUACGGGAGGCAGCAGUGGAGAAUAUUGCACAAUGGGCGGAAGCCUGAUGCAGCAGCGCCGCGUGCGGGAUGACGGCCUUCGUGUUGUAAACCGCUUUCGCCUGUGACGAAGCGUGAGUGACGGUAAUGGGUAAAGAAGCACCGGCUAACUACGUG
rnacentral:rRNA from 1 species